rnacentral:lncRNA from 1 species
UAUAGAAAUAAAAAAGAACAACCAUGCUAUUAAUGACAAAAGGGACAUCAAACAUCUGAACAAAUUAUAUUAUAAUCUAAUUUAAAAUAUAAUACAAAAGAAAUUUCAGCACGCCUAUGAUGCGGAAGCAACUAAGUAUUUAAUUGAUAUUUGAAACAUCGAUAUAACAUCACAAUAAUUCGACACAGUACCUAAAUUUUAAAUGUAUCUACUAGUGGGUCUGUCCCUAUGUUUUUAACAUUGUUUUAUUUUGUGACGUCUAUUAUUGUUAUUGUUCACUGCCAACUUUACAUGCAGGUCACGUAAUGAUCUUGAAAAAGGCAAGGAUAUUCCUGUCGAAACGUCGAUUAAAUGAUAUGACAUAACAUCAUAGCCAUCUCUUUUUCUUUGUGAACCUAAGCCCAAGAAACCCAAA